AUUGGAUGUGGUGGCACACACCUGUGGUCUCAGCUACUCGGAAGGCUGAGGUGGAUCGCUUGAACACAGGCGUUCUGGGCUGUAGUGCACUAUGCUGAUCGGGGUCUGCACUGUUUGGGAUCAAUAUGGUGACCUCCUCAGAGUGAGGGAACACCAGGUUGCCUAAGGAGAAGUGAAGCAGCCCGGGUCAGAAAAGUAACAAAUCAAACCAUCUCAGUAGUAGGAUUGUGUGUGGAUAGCCACUGCACCCUAGCCUAGGCAACAUAAUGGAGAGACGUCCUCAA
rnacentral:SRP_RNA from 1 species